AACGAACGCUGGCGGCAGGCCUAACACAUGCAAGUCGAGCGCCCCGCCAGGGGAGCGGCGGACGGGUGAGUAACGCGUGGGAAUAUGCCCUUUGCUACGGAAUAGUCUCGGGAAACUGGGGGUAAUACCGUAUACGGCCUUUGGGGGAAAGAUUUAUCGGCGAAGGAUUAGCCCGCGUUGGAUUAGGUAGUUGGUGGGGUAAUGGCCUACCAUGCCGACGAUCCAUAGCUGGUUUGAGAGGCUGAUCAGCCACACUGGGACUGGGACACGGCCCAGACUCCUACGGGGGGCAGCAGUGGGGAAUCUUAGACAAUGGGGGCAACCCUGAUCUAGCCAUGCCGCGUGAGUGAUGAAGGCCUUAGGGUUGUAAAGCUCUUUCAGCUGGGAAGAUAAUGACGGUACCAGCAGAAGAAGCCCCGGCUAACUCCGUG
rnacentral:rRNA from 1 species